AGUCCAGUAGCACCUAAGAGACCAACUAAGUUUGUUUUUGGUAUGAGCUUUCGUGUGCAUUGCAUGCACACACACACGAAAAGUCAUACCAAGAACAAACUUAGUUGGUCUCUUAGGUGCUACUGGACA